AUGAACGCUGGCGGCGUGCCUAAUACAUGCCAGUCGAGCGAACAGACGAGGAGCUUGCUCCUCUGACGUUAGCGGCGGACGGGUGAGUAACACGUGGAUAACCUACCUAUAAGACUGGGAUAACUUCGGGAAACCGGAGCUAAUACCGGAUAAUAUAUUGAACCGCAUGGUUCAAUAGUGAAAGACGGUUUUGCUGUCACUUAUAGAUGGAUCCGCGCCGCAUUAGCUAGUUGGUAAGGUAACGGCUUACCAAGGCGACGAUGCGUAGCCGACCUGAGAGGGUGAUCGGCCACACUGGAACUGAGACACGGUCCAGACUCCUACGGGAGGCAGCAGUAGGGAAUCUUCCGCAAUGGGCGAAAGCCUGACGGAGCAACGCCGCGUGAGUGAUGAAGGUCUUCGGAUCGUAAAACUCUGUUAUUAGGGAAGAACAAAUGUGUAAGUAACUAUGCACGUCCUGACGGUACCUAAUCAGAAAGCCACGGCUAACUACGUG
rnacentral:rRNA from 1 species